rnacentral:rRNA from 1 species
UUGAGCGGAGAUAUAUGGAGCUUGCUUUAUAUAACUUAGCAGCGAACGGGUGAGUAACACGUAGAUAAUCUAUCCUAUACUGGGGGAUAGCCCGAUGAAAGUUGGAUUAAUACCGCAUAUAGCUAUAUAGUUGCAUGAUUAUGUAGUGAAAGAUUUAUUGGUAUAGGAGGAGUCUGCGGCACAUUAGCUAGUAGGUGAGGUAAAGGCUUACCUAGGCGACGAUGUGUAGCCGGUCUGAGAGGAUGAACGGCCACAAUGGAACCGAGACACGGUCCAUACUCCUACGGGAGGCAGCAGUGGGGAAUAUUGCACAAUGGGGGAAACCCUGAUGCAGCAACGCCACGUGAGUGAAGAAGGUUUUCGGAUUGUAAAGCUCUGUUAGCAGGGAAGAGGAAGGACGGUACCUGCAGAGGAAGCCACGGCUAACUACGUGCCAGCAGCCGCGGUAAUACGUAGGUGGCAAGCGUUGUUCGGAAUAACUGGGCGUAAAGGAUGCGUAGGCGGUUAAACAAGUUAUAUGUUAAAUAUAUAGGCUUAACCUGUAGAAAGCAUAUAAAACUGUUUAACUAGAGUGCAGAGAGGUAAGUGGAAUUCCUAGUGUAGCGGUGGAAUGCGUAGAGAUUAGGAAGAACACCAGUGGCGAAGGCGACUUACUGGACUGUAACUGACGCUGAGGCAUGAGAGCAUGGGGAGCAAACAGGAUUAGAUACCCUGGUAGUCCAUGCUGUAAACGAUGGGUACUAGGUGUGGGUUGUGAAUAACAAUUCGUGCCGUCG